CUGGGAGAGCCUGAGCCGUGACCUAUAGCAACGCAGCGGCGUGACAUCAUAGGUCAUGUGCGCCACAUAGCAUGGCUGGCAGCAUGCCCACCCGUCAGCCCGUACGACCGUCUGCUGUACAGCCCGCACGUCGGCCCCACUCGCCAGCUCGCCAGCCUGCAUUCUUGCCUGCCUGUUUUCCGCUCGCAGCUCUGCACUAUGAGCCGAUGACGGACCUGGGCUCCUUUCUCUUCUACCAGGAGCUCUGAAGAUGACAACUGAGAGAUGAAACUGUAGAAGUAUAUUUCCUGCUCUGAAGAGGACAACUGAGAGAUGAAACUGUAGCAUGUUUUUUUGUGCUCUGAAGGUGACUACUGACAAAAGAAACUGCAGCAUCUUUUUUCUCCUGCUCGGAAGAUGACAACUGAAAUAUGAAACUGUACCAUGCUUUUUUUGGCUAUGAAGAUGACAACUGACAG